GGCUGAUCAGGCCGUUGCGAUGUGAUGCUACUGCUCUCCCGCCAGCUUUGUUCAGAGCAGGACUUUGUCCUGAAGUGUACAUCCACGCUUGUGCCGGCAGAUGGCAUCCCAUAUGUCAGCAAGCACCCUCCGAAAAGGAACAGUUCAUGACACUUGGAGACCUGCUUGCAGCCAUGGCCAAAACAUUUCCAUUUAUUUCCUCUAAACGUUCAUCAGGAUCGUGGUCACAGAAAACUGAAGCCCUGCUAGAAAAGGGAGAGGACCAGAUGCUGGGAUCCGCCCACUCCCUGAGUAUGUCUCAGGACUGCCUGCUUCAGUUGGUGUUCAGAAGACAUAGGCGUCACUUAAUGACCUGCUGUUCAAACUAUGCUCUGCGGACAACAUUAAUAGCCUUCCCUGCAAUUGCUGUGGUAUGUUUGAAACCUAAAAAAUGUGGAAACUGA
rnacentral:lncRNA from 1 species